GCCCGGGCGUCCUCCCCGUGCACCUGGAAGGAGGGCGGCCCGCAGCGCGUGCGGCCCUCGCCAUGGCGGCGCCGUCGCGGCUCCUGAUCCGCGGGGGGCGCGUGGUCAACGAAGACUCCUCGCAGGUGGCCGACGUGCUGGUGGAGGACGGCGUGGUGCGGGCGCUAGGGCGCGACCUGCUGCCGCCUGGGGACGCGCCGGCCGGGCUGCGGGUCCUAGACGCCGCCGGUAAGCUGGUCUUGCCCGGCGGCAUCGACACGCACACGCACAUGCAGUUCCCCUUCAUGGGCUCGCGGUCCGUGGACGACUUCUACCAGGGCACCAAGGCUGCCCUGGCAGGAGGCACCACCAUGAUCAUUGAUUUUGCCAUUCCUCACAAAGGCCACUCCCUCAUCGAGGCCUUCGAGACCUGGCGAAGCUGGGCUGAUCCCAAAGUCUGCUGUGACUACAGCCUUCAUGUGGCGGUGACAUGGUGGAGUGAGCAGGUUAAAGAAGAAAUGAAAAUCCUUACCCAAGAUAAAGGUGUGAACUCCUUCAAGGUGUUUAUGGCCUAUAAAGAUCUGUACAUGCUGAGAGAUGUGGAGCUGUACAAGGUCUUCUCUCAGUGCAAGGAAAUUGGAGCAAUUGCUCAAGUUCAUGCAGAAAAUGGAGACCUAAUUGCAGAGGGAGCAAAGAAGAUGUUGGCUUUGGGGAUAACGGGUCCCGAGGGCCAUGAGCUGGGCCGCCCAGAAGCGGUGGAGGCAGAAGCCACGCUGAGAGCCAUAACCAUAGCCGGCGCCGUGAACUGCCCUCUGUGCGUCGUGCACGUGAUGAGCAAGUCCGCAGCAAGGGUGAUAGCAGAUGCCAGGAGAGAUGGGAAAGUGGUCUGUGGAGAGCCCAUCGCAGCAGGUCUCGGCACAGAUGGUACUCACUACUGGAAUAGAGAAUGGCUCCAUGCAGCCCAUCACGUUAUGGGGCCACCCCUACGACCGGACCCUUCAACGCCUGACUUCCUCAUGAAUCUGUUGGCUAAUGGUGAUCUAACCAUAACAGGGUCUGACCACUGCACUUUCAACACCUGCCAGAAAGCUCUUGGGAAGGAUGAUUUUACUAAGAUUCCCAAUGGAGUGAAUGGCGUUGAGGACCGGAUGUCAGUAAUAUGGGAAAAAGGCGUGCACAAUGGCAAAAUAGAUGAAAACUGGUUUGUGGCAGUUACCAGCACAAAUGCAGCUAAACUCUUUAAUCUGUAUCCAAGAAAAGGAAGAAUAGCUGUGGGCUCAGAUGCUGACAUAGUGAUUUGGGACCCAAAAGCCACAAGGACCAUUUCGGCAAAAACUCAUCAUCAGGCUGUUAACUUCAACAUCUUCGAGGGCAUGGUGUGCCAUGGGGUGCCCCUGGUGACUAUUUCAAGAGGCAAAGUGGUGUAUGAAGCUGGAGUUUUCAAUGUCACAGCAGGAGACGGGAAGUUUAUUCCUCGUAAACCAUUUGCUGAAUAUAUUUACAAACGGAUCAAGCAGCAGGACCAGGUAGGCCAGAUCCAGUUUGCUGCUUCUGCAUUGCAUCAUGUCCUACAUCAACUCAUGGAUUUCUGAAAAGCCUUCCUACAUUUCAGGUCCCUCACAAGCAGCAACUGACCAAGAAGUCACUUCCUGAGCUGAAGGUCAGUGUGUUGGCCCUGGAAUGAGCAUCAGUUCAUCAUCGAGCACAAGAAUAUAAACUCCUGACGUCAACCUCGACCACAGCUGUGUCCACGGAGCCCAGAACGGU